rnacentral:rRNA from 1 species
UACGUAGGGGGCUAGCGUUGUCCGGAAUCAUUGGGCGUAAAGCGCGCGUAGGCGGUCCGGUAAGUCCGCUGUAAAAGUCAAAGGCUCAACCUUUGAAUGUCAGUGGAUACUGCCGGGCUAGAGUCCGGAAGAGGCGAGUGGAACUCCUGGUGUAGCGGUGGAAUGCGCAGAUAUCAGGAAGAACACCGACGGCGAAGGCAGCUCGCUGGGACGGUACUGACGCUGAGGCGCGAAAGCGUGGGGAGCGAACAGG